GGCGACACCGGAACCAGGUGUUAGAGAAGCAGCUGUCGGUGCUGCGGGCAGAGGCUGAUCGAAGCCGAGAUCUGGAAGAGCAGAACCUCCAGCUACAAAAGACCCUGCAGCAACUGCGGCAGGACUGUGAAGAGGCUUCCAAGGCUAAGGUGGCAUCAGAGACAGAGGCCAUGGUACUGGGGCAGCGUCAGGCAACAGUGGAAACCACACUUCGGGAGACCCAAGAGGAAAAUGACGAAUUUCGAAGGCGCAUCCUCGGUCUGGAGCAGCAGCUGAAGGAGGCCCGAGGUCUGGUGGAAGGUGGGGAAGCGGUGGAGGCACGGCUUCGGGACAAAGUGCAUCGGCUGGAG
rnacentral:lncRNA from 1 species